rnacentral:lncRNA from 1 species
GUGUAGACCGACGUUAAAGUCCAGUGCUCUCACGUCGUCCGACCCAGGUACCACAAACUAAAUGAGACUGAGUCGGACGAGCCAUGUUCCCUUGCCCCAAGACUGCACUGACCAGUGAAACUAAAAACACCUCUCCUCUCGGGACUCUCACCUGGAGCUGCCUGCUGGCCUCGCCAGUGCUCACCCCUGUAACAGCAGAAGUGGGGGUUCUAAUCCAGACCCUGGUAUUUGGGCUUAAAUUACCAGGAUCUUUUCACCUGAAAAGAGAGGAUGACUGCAGCAUCCCAUGGUCGGUCUCAACAAGGCAAGAGGAGAAGACAGACAAGAGUGGGCUUUCUCAUCGGAAGUCACAAAGUCUUCUUAGUUUUUAUUACACUCCAGGUAAUAAAACAAGUACAAAAUAACCUUGUAAUAAGGAUACUGUGUCCAUCAAUAAAAAAGAGAAACACUCGUGUAUGAA